GACGAACGCUGGCGGCGUGCCUAAUACAUGCAAGUAGAACGCACAGUUUAUACCGUAGCUUGCUCCACCAUAGACUGUGAGUUGCGAACGGGUGAGUAACGCGUAGGUAACCUGCCUGGUAGCGGGGGAUAACUAUUGGAAACGAUAGCUAAUACCGCAUAAUAUUAAUUAUUGCAUGAUAAUUAAUUGAAAGGUGCAAUUGCACCACUACCAGAUGGACCUGCGUUGUAUUAGCUAGUAGGUGAGGUAACGGCUCACCUAGGCGACGAUACAUAGCCGACCGGAGAGGGUGAUCGGCCACACUGGGACUGAGACACGGCCCAGACUCCUACGGGAGGCAGCAGUAGGGAAUCUUCGGCAAUGGACGAAAGUCUGACCGAGCAACGCCGCGUGAGUGAAGAAGGUUUUCGGAUCGUAAAGCUCUGUUGUAAGAGAAGAACGGGUGUGAGAGUGGAAAGUUCACACUGUGACGGUAUCUUACCAGAAAGGGACGGCUAACUACGUG
rnacentral:rRNA from 1 species